CAAGUGGACCCAAAAUUUCUUAAUGCAGAAAAUGAGCUCCGAAGGAUAUUUGGUUCUAAAGUGGUGAAUUCAUUCGAAAAAGGUCAUCAAACUGGAAGUUCCAGACAGUCAAGAGGUGGAAGACGUGGGAGCCAGAGCCAUCGAAAGACUAUUCUUGUUUGUCCUUUAGAACAUUGGCCAAAGUGGGAUGGAUCACUGUCGAUGGAACUUGUGGAAACCAGAGAUGGGAUAUCUGAUUUUAGGUAUGUACAUACAUCAUCCUAUAGCCAAGCCCAGAAAGCAUUUGAAAGUGCUAAGGCAGUUCAUGAUUUUAAUGGUAUCGUGAAUAUUCUGUUGCAUCAUCCGUAUCAUGUUGACUCACUCAUUACAUUAGCUGAAUAUUACAAAUUCAGUGGUGAACAACAAAUGUCGGCUGAUUGUACUGCAAGAUGUCUGUAUGCAUUGGAAUGUGCUUGGCAUCCAAUGUUCACUCCUUUAGUGGGCAACUGUCAACUUAAGUUUAGUUGUGAAAUCAACAAACCGUUGUUCUCUGUGCUUUUCUCCCACAUGAAAAACAUGGAUAGACGUGGUUGUCAUCGGUCUGCCCUUGAGCUCUGCAAAUUGUUGCUCCUACUAGAUCCAGACGAUCCAAUGGGUG
rnacentral:misc_RNA from 1 species